AUUGAACGCUGGCGGCAGGCCUAACACAUGCAAGUCGAACGGUAACAGGAAACAGCUUGCUGUUUCGCUGACGAGUGGCGGACGGGUGAGUAAUGUCUGGGAAACUGCCUGAUGGAGGGGGAUAACUACUGGAAACGGUAGCUAAUACCGCAUAACGUCGCAAGACCAAAGAGGGGGACCUUCGGGCCUCUUGCCAUCGGAUGUGCCCAGAUGGGAUUAGCUAGUAGGUGGGGUAACGGCUCACCUAGGCGACGAUCCCUAGCUGGUCUGAGAGGAUGACCAGCCACACUGGAACUGAGACACGGUCCAGACUCCUACGGGAGGCAGCAGUGGGGAAUAUUGCACAAUGGGCGCAAGCCUGAUGCAGCCAUGCCGCGUGUAUGAAGAAGGCCUUCGGGUUGUAAAGUACUUUCAGCGGGGAGGAAGGGAGUAAAGUUAAUACCUUUACUCAUUGACGCUACCCGCAGAAGAAGCACCGGCUAACUCCGUG
rnacentral:rRNA from 1 species